GAAUAUUAAAGGGCCGCGGUAUUACUGACCGUGCAAAGGUAGCAUAAUCAUUAGGCCUUUAAUUGGGGUCUAGAAUGAAUGAUUGGACAAAAAAAGAGCUGUCUCUAUAUUAGUUAUAGAAUUUAACUUUUAAGUGAAAAGGCUUAAAUAUUUCAAAGGGACGAUAAGACCCUAUAAAGCGUUAUAUUGGGGCGAUAGAUAUAUAAGUUAUAGCUGUUUUUAAGACAUUCGGGGAUAGGUGGAAAGAUCCUUUAUUUUAAGAUUUAAGACUAAGUUACUUUAGGGAUAACAGCGUUAUUUUUUUUGAGAGUCCUUAUCGAGAAAAAAGUUUGCGACCUCGAUGUUGAAUUAAAAUUUCUUUACGGCGCAGUUGUUGUAUAAGAAGGUCUGUUCGACCUUUAAAUUUUU
rnacentral:rRNA from 1 species